AAAGCAUUCUCUUAGGACUUUCAAAAAGCUACUAACUAUUCAUAUAACAUAUGUAAGUUAUUACUUGCAUUUACAUUUUUCAUCAACCUUACUUCCUUUAUCAUACUAUUCCAUUGUUUAACCCACUUUAAUUAUUUUUCAGGGAAUAUAAAAUGACACAGCGACUUGGUAUAUAUGCAAUCACUCCUGAAAUACCAGACUGGACGUGUAAAGUGCAAGUUGUGGAUAUAUGCAAACCAGGAGAAGGUUCUCACCGAAAGAUAAAAUAUUUGAACAUGAUCUUUCAAGAUGAACAGGAAAACCAAAUAAAAGCUAUUGUUUACGGUGAUGAAAUCUCCUCUUAUCAAGAUAUAUUCAAGCUGUUCCACACCUAUGUGCGUGCAUACAAGUACCAAAUUUGAGAUAUGAAUGACCCUUGCAUACAUUUGAGUGGAUUAUUGACAAAAAAACCAUAGUUGAUCCAAUUGAAAAAGAUAGUCCAGAUGAGGAUGAAUUGCCACUGCCCACAAAGCUGAAUCUUACAUCAUUGGAAGACAUCAACAAUCAGGCCUCCCAGUCUACCAAAGAGCAGCCUAAGGACGUCGGAUUUAGUAGGGUUCUAUUACUUCUUUUUAGUUUAACUUUUGACACAUUCAUCUAUUAAAUACAAAUUGUUUUGCCAAUAGAUAUACUCGCAAUUGUUGUUCGCUGAUUUCCGCCAAGGCUUGUUGCAAAAGUCCAGAAAAGAUUGCAAGAACUCAUUCUCAUCGAUACUGACAAACAAGCUUUGACCUUCACACUAUGGGAAGAAACUAUUAUUGAGGACGAAGGCAGGAAACUCCUUGACCAAUUCAAAAAACGUCCUAUUAUCUUUGCCAGGCGUAUUGGGGUAUCCAAGUACAACGGUACAUCGUUGACAACAAAAUUUAACACCAGAAUACAAAUUGAUCCCCCUUAUUCCCAAUGCCUACAAUUGCACACAUGGGUCACAUAAAACAAAGAAAUGCUUGCUUCUUUCAGUCUGAGGAGCACAUCUGAAUCUGGAUCUCUUAUCAGCGUUUCAGUAGAUGAACAAAUAGUCCCAAUUGCAAAUGUUAAAUCACAACAGGACGGGCAUUCCUUCUCUAUUGACGGAAAAGUAUCACUUCCAAAUAAACUCAAAAGUUGCUAUGUUUUACUAUGUCCCAACUGCAAACAAGAAGUCAGAAGUUUAAUAAAAAGAAAGUUUCUGUGUAUGACUUGUAAGCAACGAAAUAUGUUAAUUCCCAGGUGCAGAUUUGAUGUAAAUCUCCAAGAUGCUUCCGGAUCAAUAAUUGAGAUAAUUAUGGACAAAGAAGCAGAAAAAUUAUUAUCCCUUACCACAAAUUAGAUUUACGACCUUGCUUCAAAUGAGGAUGACUUGCUACCAAUGCAAAAUAUUCAAAGCAAGCUAAAUCAAAACUUUUACAUAAUUCAAGUGAAAAAAUCAUUCUCCCGCACUUCUCAAGCAACAUCUGGAAAAUUGUACAUUUUGUCUUACACUGAAAAAGGAAAAACGGUGCAUUCUCUCCCUGAAUCACCAAAAACUGACAUUGAAGAAGGCAACAAAAGGAAAAAGAAACAUUUAGUUUCUUUUGAUGAAGAAACAGAAGUACCAACCGAGCGACGUCACUCGCUCAAGCUGAAACAAAAACUGGAGCCAACAACGCUAGUAAAAAAUAAAUAAAGGUCACCACAAAAUUCUCUUUCUUAUUCCUUGUAUGGAUAUAUUUAUAUUAUAUCUUUAUACCCUCUUUCAUUCUUUCUGGUAAACACAUUUGCAGGAUAACCUUUUUUUGCAAUCACUUUUGCGUUUUGCGGAACUAAGUUCUUUUGUAGGGAAAUCAAUUCUCUUUUGAAGCUUGCUUUUGACUUUUUGUCUUGCAACUACAUGUUCCAACAACAUAUACAUCCAUCAAACAAAGG